rnacentral:rRNA from 1 species
UACGAAGGGGGCUAGCGUUGCUCGGAAUCACUGGGCGUAAAGGGUGCGUAGGCGGGUCUUUAAGUCAGGGGUGAAAUCCUGGAGCUCAACUCCAGAACUGCCUUUGAUACUGAAGAUCUUGAGUUCGGGAGAGGUGAGUGGAACUGCGAGUGUAGAGGUGAAAUUCGUAGAUAUUGGGUGGAACACCGGUGGCGAAAGCGGCUCUCUGGUCCGGACCUGACGCUGAGGCGCGAAAGCGUGGGGAGCAAACAGG